rnacentral:rRNA from 1 species
UACGAAGGGGGCUAGCGUUGCUCGGAAUCACUGGGCGUAAAGGGCGCGUAGGCGGCGUUUUAAGUCGGGGGUGAAAGCCUGUGGCUCAACCACAGAAUGGCCUUCGAUACUGGGACGCUUGAGUAUGGUAGAGGUUGGUGGAACUGCGAGUGUAGAGGUGAAAUUCGUAGAUAUUCGCAAGAACACCGGUGGCGAAGGCGGCCAACUGGACAAGUACUGACGCUGAGGUACGAAAGCGUGGGGAGCAAACAGG